rnacentral:misc_RNA from 1 species
CCUCCUUACCAUUACGUCGAUAGACGCACUUGAUGCAGUGCCUACACAGAUUGUUUUGUUUAUUUAUAAAGACUCGCUUCGCGGGUGUCGCGAUUAAUUGCUUUGCUGGAAGCCAAGCUUCCUGACAAUUAAUCUACUCGCUAAAGAAGUGAAACCUAGAUGUUUCGAUGUAGAGUGCUAAUUAAUGAUCGCAUCAUUGAUUAGUGUUUUUUAGAAACACUAAUGUUCUUUAACAAUUUGGAAAGCUGAUAUUAAUAGUAAUCAAUCAAAAUUGAGUAACUGAGAAGUCGAAAGACGUACUUUUUACUCUACUUGACUUGAAUUGCUUGUUAUCAACAUUGAUUGAUAGCAAGGCAAUUCUUCCGAUUAGCUUGUCAUGCAUGCACAUUACCCUUGUCCGAAUUCAAAAGGCGGACAUGAGGCCCGAUACA